CCUACGGGAGGCAGCAGUGGGGAAUAUUGCACAAUGGGCGAAAGCCUGAUGCAGCGACGCCGCGUGAGGGAUGACGGCCUUCGGGUUGUAAACCUCUUUCAGCAGGGAAGAAGCGAAAGUGACGGUACCUGCAGAAGAAGCGCCGGCUAACUACGUGCCAGCAGCCGCGGUAAUACGUAGGGCGCAAGCGUUGUCCGGAAUUAUUGGGCGUAAAGAGCUCGUAGGCGGCUUGUCACGUCGGGUGUGAAAGCCCGGGGCUUAACCCCGGGUCUGCAUUCGAUACGGGCUAGCUAGAGUGUGGUAGGGGAGAUCGGAAUUCCUGGUGUAGCGGUGAAAUGCGCAGAUAUCAGGAGGAACACCGGUGGCGAAGGCGGAUCUCUGGGCCAUUACUGACGCUGAGGAGCGAAAGCGUGGGGAGCGAACAGGAUUAGAUACCCUGGUAGUCCACGCCGUAAACGGUGGGAACUAGGUGUUGGCGACAUUCCACGUCGUCGGUGCCGCAGCUAACGCAUUAAGUUCCCCGCCUGGGGAGUACGGCCGCAAGGCUAAACUUAAUGAAUUGACGG
rnacentral:rRNA from 1 species